UACAGAGGUCUCAAGCGUUGUUCGGAUUCAUUGGGCGUAAAGGGUGCGUAGGUGGCGCUGUAAGUCAGGUGUGAAAUUUCGGAGCUUAACUCCGAAACUGCAUUUGAUACUGCGGUGCUUGAGGACUGGAGAGGAGACUGGAAUUUACGGUGUAGCAGUGAAAUGCGUAGAGAUCGUAAGGAAGACCAGUGGCGAAGGCGGGUCUCUGGACAGUUACUGACACUGAGGCACGAAGGCCAGGGGAGCAAACGGG
rnacentral:rRNA from 1 species